ensembl:lncRNA
UGCAGGACUUGCUCUUACCGCCAGGCUCCCUGUGCCCCGCGAUUCCUUCCGCAGCAAAGACCACCACUCUCGGAGCACGGCUUCUAAGGCCGCAGAUCAGGAACUUGGAUAUUCUUACUCAAAGGCGCAGCCUUUACUGUGCAGCAGUGCACCUUCAACAUCUGGAAAAUGCUGGAAGUUACAGAUGUUUAAUUGCCAAAAUAUAAAAAGUUGGCAAGGAGUCAUUUGGUGUCCAUUCUCUUGCUGGACGAUUCUGGAUGGAGCCGACAGAUACAAGGAGUCAUCACUAAAAAUGUCAGGAAGGUGGUGCUCUAAGUGAAUUCAGGUGAGUCCUUGAAAGAAAAAAACCAGGAUUGAAAGAAAACAUUUAUUGAAUCAAAAUCAAUACUUUCUUUUUUAAUAUCUACAAGCCAACAAUGAAUUCACUUCAUUCAAGAAUGAACACAAAUGUACAAAAAAAGUAUGCUUAUAUUAUAAAAAUAUGUCAAUUUUAUCUCCUGGGUGCUGAGCAGAAGUCAUUUUAAACAAAAUCAAGGCCAACUUGUUCCCUAUAACGAAACCUCUCCAAUUUCCUAACCGAAGUGAAAGCGGAUGUAGAGCCCGCUGAUGCUGCUGCCCCACUCAGAGGCGGACGCUGGCCCCCCGGCUCUCAGGCACCACUACCUGCCUGCACAGGAAGGCACCUCUUCCACCCAACACAUCACUGCUAGCACAGUCUUCCUGCGGCUUCUCUUGCUUAACAGUUGUUAGCAUCUAUUUCAGCAAAGUAGUAACAGGAUAAAGAAUUCUGAGCACAAAAAUCCUACUUAUUUAAUCAGCUUCAAUUUAAAAAUGAGAUCCACUGCUAUGGACAACAAACGACCUCUCAAGAUUUUACAAUCCCAUUUAUGAAGGUGGGAAAGCUGCUGCCCUCCACUCUCAAACAUCUUUAAAGCCUCCAUAGGAAAAAUGUAUGACCAGGGUUAGCAUCUCCGUCACGCCACUCACCGGCACCUUUGCAGCACCUGGCCUGGGCUGUGCGGCGAAGGCCCGCGCGCUCCUGCUCCCGUGGAGCACAGUUCGCGUGCUCUAGUGAUGGGGAGACAUGAAUACCGAAGUCCUCAAGAGCUGAGGCAGAGGGACAGUGGCUCCUGGAUGCUGUUCCAGGAGUUAUGUGACAAUACAGAACACUGCUCUCCCCAUGCUGACAAAGCCAAGGAAACCCCGUCCGUGCACGGCGGUGUCCUGGAGGAGGAGUGGCAAGGGCACGCAGGCGAAUCCUGGAACGCAGCAUCCAUAGUGAAGUAAAGACAACAGAUGGAUUAAAGGGUAAAUUACUCAACUGCCUCUCUCUGCUUGGCAUGGACACAUCUGAAGGCCCAAAACUGCAAGAUACAAGGAUCUCCUCCUGGUUCACCACUCUGCUGGGUAAAUAAAGCAACUUCAGAAAUGCUUUGUUUUACAUAAACCAAAGGUUUCUUAAAUUACCUGGGACUAAGCUUUUCCCUGGGAAAGGGGCUAAAUGAAGGCAGAAGAGAAAACUAUCGUGUUCCUCUAUGCAAACACUAAUCCCUUAUAGCUCUCUAAGUUUUCCAUUAAGCGCCAUUUCCUGCAUGAAAUGUUAACCCUACCAAAGGUAGAUAGGCCUGAACUGGACAUAGGAUUUAAACAUUUAAUACUACACUGACUCUGGCUUAAUUUAACCCUAUGCUCUACUACAUGACAGAAGCAUUUAUAGAAAUAUUUGAAAUACACAAAAUUUGUGAAAGAUAAACAUUUUGGAACCUGAGCAAAGGCUUCUUACCAAUACCAUAAAAAGUCACCGUACUGGUCGUUCUCACAGGCAGCGAUUCAGCCAGGUCAGUGUGCUGCUUUUGGCAACUUAGCCAAACUGAAGCCCAAUACACUGCUGCCAGAAACAACUGGAUACCAGCACAUUACACAGAAGACAUAGAAAGGGAACAAGAGCCCAAAGAAUGAACAGCUGGCAGGAUGAAGGCGCUGCUCAGAGUUGCCGGGAUGGGUCUCCCCACAACAUACCUGUUCACUACCACACGUCCUAGCCCUCAAAGUACAUGUGCUGCACACUUACACCGAAGGCAUGCCUUGGGGAUGCCAGCCUUUCUCUUACUGCAGUUCUAGUCAGACAGACCAAAAAGUCAAGACGUCUGGAAAUAAGCUACCAAGUUAGCUUUCUCUGUGGACGACUGACACGACUUGGUGCCACAGCAAAACUCUCUAAUAGCAGCAGUACCAGCCCGUGGCAGAAGAGAAACACUCAUUUCUCACAUCCCAUGGGCCACCACAUCAACUCCAUCAAGCAUGCAAAUAUCUAUUCUGCUGAAGUUUCAAACAAAUAUAAACGAUCAUUGUGCUUGUGGGUCUCAUACCUUCCCAAGGUGGCAAGUUAACUUAGCAGUAAAAUCACAGGGCGGAAAUGAAACGUCUACGAUGGGAAAACUGCGGGCUGGUGCCGGCAGUCCCAGAACAUAUCAUGCUCAGUAGGGUCAGACCCUCCCGCCCGCGCCCUGGGCACUGCAGUCCUGUCUCGAGUGCCCACAGCGUGGUCUCAGGGCAGAGCAGCAGCAUCACUGGCGUGGUCGCAGGGGUGGGCAAGGUGCCCGUCAACUUCUUUUGUAGUUAAGGACGAAAGAAUGCAAUCACAAGACAAAGUGACAGAGUAGUGGGCAGAGAAAAUAUCGAAGUUCACAAUGACCUGUAAAAGCAAAACAAGAAUUCAAAUUAUUUUCACACUUUCAGGCUUUAUCUUUCUUAAAAGCAGUCUGUGUUUAAGUGCUAACCCUGCAAUCACUUCAGUGUGCAUGAGACUGUUUGAUGCCUGUAGUUAAAGGAUCAACCUCACUCCUUGUUUCAAAGAUGCACGCAAGUGUAUCCUGUCAUAAGACUCGGGCGAAAGUCUCCCCUCCACCCC